rnacentral:rRNA from 1 species
AAUCAACGCUGGCGGCGUGCCUAACACAUGCAAGUCGAACGCGAAAGGGGCUUCGGCUCUGAGUAGAGUGGCAAACGGGUGAGUAACGCGUGGGUGACCUGCCCUUGAGUGGGGGAUAACGUUCCGAAAGGGGCGCUAAUACCGCAUGACAUCCUGUCCUUGGAUGGGUGGAGAUCAAAGCUGGGGAUCGCAAGACCUGGCGCUUGAGGAGGGGCCCGCGUUCCGAUUAGCUAGUUGGUAGGGUAAUGGCCUACCAAGGCGACGAUCGGUAGCCGGCCUGAGAGGGCGGACGGCCACACUGGGACUGAGACACGGCCCAGACUCCUACGGGAGGCAG